rnacentral:lncRNA from 1 species
GCCGAUACAGUAUGGUGCAGGUAGAACUCGUCCCUUUAAUGAUGGCAUAUGCCCCUUAGGUCUAAACCUACCUGGGGGCUCUGCGACCCCCGUAUGGGAAAUAUGACCUAAGAGCUAUGAAGAAGGAAGCUCGACGUAGGGGAAGAUAUGGACAAAACCCCGUAAUGAUGACCACCCGGGGCUCAUGCCACUGAUACGGAUUAAUCUUCGCAAGAUCUACAAACAUGAUUAAGGACCCACGUGAGGAAGGGCACUGGCUCAUGACAUGAGUUACCGAAGAGAGUAGUGUCUUUUUACCUUUUUACGCUCCCUUUCGAGAGAAGCCAUUAUAAAGGGCUCCCUCCUUGUCCUACAAAAGGAGGAGUCGACCUCAAAUAGAACACCAGUGACACAACACACCCAAUACGAUAUAAGCACUCGCACCCCACAGAAACUUGAGAACGUUUUCUCUCUCACCCAUUUGGAAGCCCCUACUACAAACAAGCUGGUGCCAGUAACGUGAGCCGCCAAAAACUGGAGUAGGGACAUUCAGCCUAGACCAGUAUAACCCCUUGCGUCCACCAAGCACACAGUGGCGGACCCACAGGGGGGUUCGGGUGGGCCGUGGCACACCCUAAGUCAGGCCCACCAGAGACCCCACCCCACCAGGCCAUUCCAGUUAGCGGACGGGACGCACGUUCCAACUUCCAACUUUCUGCUUUCUGUUCGCGUUCGGUUCGGUUCGGCUUCUCUGUUCCUAGCGGUCUCGUCUUCUCGUCUUCUAUCCGGCCUCUGCGAUCGGUUCGGCUUUUCCUGGCGGCGACCAGCAGGCUGGCAGCUGCUUGUGGCUUGCCUUGUGCCUUCCUGCGCGCAGCGCGCAAGCUGGCGACGCCAACGAGGACCUCCAGUCCUCUAGAUCGGCGCGGCGCUCCUGGACCAGCAAGAGAACAGGGUCGUGUUCCGGCUGUGCAACGGCGAUCGGGCGGGCGGAGGCGGCGAGGCGCGCGUGGAGAGGAUGCACAUCGAGCCAGCGAUAUUUUCUGCGCGAGGAGCGCGCCCGGCACUCCGGCCAGGGAGUUCAAGAAGGUGUACAACUGCUUGUGGGCAUGGUACAGGCGUACAGCCGGUGCAGCUCGUGUACCUGGUUGAUUUGAUCGGUUACAUCGGUAGGAACCCAGGCAACAUAUUGUUGUUGAUUUUUGUCUUAUUGAUUAUUGAUUCACUACCAUUAUUUUUGUAGUGACUAAAAUAUGAAGAAGCAGGGAGAUAUCGCCUCUCUUUUUCGCAAUCAUACUGCAAAGAAAUAGAAGUUUAUUGCUUCUUCAUUAUCUCCGGAUGUUACUCAACCAUCGGCACCUCAAGAACAAGAGGAAGAGAGAAUAAAUGAAGAAAUUGUGAAUCCAAUGCCAUCUGCACCGCCACCGCCAACACUUUAUGAUGUCAGUCGUCUUCCACAUGAUCCAGGUGAAAGACAACCUAUUGCAAGUUACCAUGCUAAUAAUCAUGAUGCAAUUCGAAGAGCAUAUAUUCUUAGAGGUCCGUUUCAACCAUAUGCACAUGAAUUCCCAAAUAGGAAAAUUGGAGAUAGAGAUCCUCAUUUUAAUUUUGUGUGGUUUCAAAAUUUUCCUUGGAUUGAAUAUAGUGUCAAGAAAGAUGCUGCAUUUUGCUUUAUGUGCUACUUAUUCAAAAGUAAAGCAAAUAAGGGCAAAGGGACUUCUGCAUUUACUUCAGAUGGUUGGAAUAAUUGGAAAAAGGGUCUGAAGCACUUCUAAAACAUGUGGGUUCUAUGUCACAUAAGACAGCCGAAGAGAAAUAUCUUGCCUUUAUAAAUCCUAAUGCAGCAAUUGAUAAUAAAAUUGAGAAGUGGAGUGAUGAUGAUCGCAAUCUUUAUAAGAUAAGGUUGACAUAUUCACUUCGAUGUUUGAAGUUUCUUUUGCAUCAAGGAUUGUCAUUGCGUGGACAUGAUGAAAGUGAAGAGUCUAGCAACAGAGGAAACUUUAUUGAAAUCUUGAAAUUUCUUGCUAUAAAUAGUGAAGAGGUCAACAAGUAUGUUCUUAACAACGCUCCAGGUAAUUGCACUUUGACUAGCCCAAAGAUACAAUAGCAAAUUAUUCAGUGUUGCGCUAUAGAAACUAGAAAGAAAAUAAUUGAAGAGCUUGAGGAAGAGCCAUUUGCAAUUUUAGCGGAUGAGUCUAGUGACAUAUCACACAAAGAACAACUAGCUCUUUGCUUGCGUUAUGUUGAUGCAUUGGGAAGGCCAUGUGAGCACUUCAUUGGAGUUGUUCAUGUAGAUGAUACUAGCUCUUUAUCACUUAAGAAUGCAAUUGAAGCUUUACUUGUUAGUCAUGGCUUGACUUUGACACAAAUUCGUGGACAAGGUUAUGAUGGGGCUAGCAACAUGAGAGGUGAUAUUAAAGAAUUGAAAACAUUGAUCAUGCAAGAGUCACCUUCUACUUAUUAUAUCUACAGUUUUGCACAUCAACUCCAACUAGUUCUUGUUGUUGUUGCCAAGGGAAAUAAUGAUUGUGUCUGGUUUUUUGAUCAAGUAACUCUCUUAUUGAAUAUCGUUGGAGUUUCUUGUAAGCGUCACGGUAUGCUUCGAGAUGCUAGACUUGAGAAUCUCGUGAAAUCACUUGAAUGUGGUGAACUUGAAAUUGGGAGAGGAUUGAAUCAAGAGAUGGGGUUGCCUAGGCCUGGUGAGACUCGAUGGGGCUCUUAUUACAAAACUAUAUGCAACAUAAUUACUAUGUAUCCUGUAAUCCGAGAUGUUCUCAUGAUUCUUGGAGAGGAUACUACAAUUAGAAGUGAUUAGACAAGGAUACAUUCUAUGCUUGGAGCAUUUGAGUCAUUUGACUUUGUUUUUGAUGCACACUUAAUAUUUGUUAUUCUUAGAUAUACAAAUGAUUUAUCAGUGUGUUUGCAAAGAAGGGAGCAAGAUAUUAUUAAUGCAAUUUCACUUGUUAAUGUGGCAAAGAGAAGAAUGCAACAGUUAAGGCUUGAUGGUUGGGAUCAAUUCCUUCAAAGAAUCACUUCAUUUUGCAACAAACAUGAUAUCCUAGUUCCUGCUAUGGAUGGAAAUUAUAAGCCUUAUGAAAGAUCAUCACGAUUUGUUCAUAACCAAACCAAUGAUGACCACUUCAGAAGAGAAGUAUAUAUUGGGAUCAUUGAUCAAAUUAGCCUAGAGCUUGAUAGUCAGUUUAGUGAGGCUAAUAUGGAGCUGCUUUCUUGUAUGUCAGCCUUAGAUCCUUCCAACUCUUUUGCUUCUUUUGAUGCACAUAAGGUACGAAAGCUAGCUGAUUUCUAUCCUAAUGACAUGUCAAGCACUGACUUGUUAAAACUUGACUUGCAACUUGACAAUUAUAUUGAUGGCAUAAGAGAAGAUGAUAGAUUCAAAGACAUAACUAAUCUUGUGGAUCUCUUAGUUAAGCUUGUUGAAACAAAGAGACAUAAGGUGUUUGAUAUAGUUUAUUUGCUUCUCAAAUUGGUAUUUCUUUUGCCGGUGGCGACUGAAAGGGAAAUGUGCCCUUGGGCCAUUUCUAAGUAUUUUGGUGAUUGAGUGCCAACUCAAGUGCUUAAAAUGUGAAUUUAUGCAAUGGAUGAACAAAGUGCAAAUCAAGAGCAAAGGUAUGUUUCUAAGUCUUAGUACAUUGGUUUUGUGUACUAAUAUACUUGUCUAAGUAUUGGAAACAGGAAGAAAAAGAAAAGGAAAAAGGUGGUUGUGUACAGCCAAGGGGCUGUUUCGGUCUGGGGCACCGGACUGUCCGGUGGUGCACCGGACAGUGUCCGGUGCGCCAGGCUGCCUCGGCCGAACAGGCCGCUCUCGGGAAUUCGCCGACGGCGUACGGCUAAAAUUCACCGGACUGUCCGGUGUGCACCGGACUGUCCGGUGAGCCAACGGUCGGCCGGGCCAACGGUCGGCCGCGCGAUCUGCGCGGGACACGUGGCCGAGCCAACGGUCGGGAAGGGGCACCGGACUGUCCGGUGUGCACCGGACAUGUCCGGUGCGCCAACGGCUCCCGCAUCUGCAACGGUCGACUGCGCUGUUUAAGGAAGGAAAUCGGGCACCGGACAGUGUCCGGUGUGCACCGGACUGUCCGGUGCACCCGACGACAGAAGGCAAGUUUGGCCUUCUGGAAUUGCUCUCAACGGCUCCUAGCUGCCUUGGGGCUAUAAAAGGGACCCCUAGGCGCAUGGAGGAGAACACCAAGCAACCUUAGAGCAUUCUUGAUCAUCCACACUCAGUCUUUGCGCAUUCGUUUGUCAUUCUAAGUGAUUCGAGCUCCGUUCUAGUGAGAACUUUGGGAUAGUCUUUUGAGCUCGAUUCUUGGUCGUGUGUGUGCGCAUUUUGCUGUGGAUUUGUGUGUGUUGCUUCCCUCCCUUACUCUGUAUUUCUUUGUGAAUCUCAAGUGUAAGGGCGAGAGACUCCAAGUUGUGGAGAUUCCUCGCAAAUGGGAAAUUGAAAGGAAAAGCAUAACACUGUGGUAUUCAAGUUGAUCAUUGGAUCACUUGAGAGGAGUUGAGUGCAACUCUCGUCCGUUGGGACGCCACAACGUGGAGUAGGCAAGUUUUGUACUUGGCCGAACCACGGGAUAAAUCACUGUGUCUUCUCUGUGUUGAACUCCGUGUGAUUAUCCUAUUGUGCAAGAUCUUCUCUCUAGCCACUUGGCAUUAACUGUGCUAACACUUAAUCAAAGUUUUGUGGCUUAAGUUUUGAAGUUUACAGGAUCACCUAUUCACCCCCCCCCCUCUAGGUGCUCUCAAUUGGUAUCAGAGGCAUUCUCUUCAAGAAAGGGACUAACCGCCCGAAGAGAUGGAUCCUAAGGGGAAGGGAAUCGUGAUCAACGAUAAGGAGAAGGAGUCCUUCGUCAACGAGCCAAAGGAUGACAAGUCAAACGACUCGGGCUCGGGUCAUAGACGAAAAGAUGGGAAGAAGAAGAAGACAAGGCGCAUCAAGGAAAUUGUCUACUACGACAGCGACGAAUCUUCCUCUUCCCAAAAGGACGAUGACAACGACUACAGGAAGACGGUCAAUUCGAACUUUUCAUUUGAUUAUUCUCGUAUUCCACAUAGUUCGAAUUCGCAUUUGCUUUCCAUUCCUCUCGGCAAACCUCCACACUUUGAUGGGGAGGACUACGGAUUUUGGAGUCACAAAAUGCGUAGUCAUUUAUUCUCUCUCCAUCCAAGCAUAUGGGAGAUUGUAGAGAAUGGAAUGAAAUUUGAUAGCUCGGAUAGUCCUAUGUUUAUUAACGAACAAAUUCAUAAAAAUGCACAAGCUACUACUGUGUUGCUAGCCUCUUUGUGCAGGGACGAGUACAAUAAGGUGAGCGGCUUGGACAAUGCCAAGCAGAUAUGGGACACCCUCAAGAUCUCUCACGAGGGGAACGACAUCACCAUGCUCACUAAAAUGGAGUUGGUGGAGGGCGAGCUUGGAAGGUUUGCAAUGAUAAGGGGCAAGGAGCCAACCCAAACAUACAACCGGCUCAAGACCCUUAUCAACAAAAUAAGGAGCUACGGAAGCACGCGAUGGACGGACCAUGACGUCGUCCGCCUAAUGCUAAGGUCAUUUACCGUUCUUGAUCCUCAUCUCGUGAACAAUAUUCGUGAGAAUCCCAGGUACACGAAGAUGACGCCCGAGGAGGUACUCGGAAAAUUCGUAAGCGGGCGGAUGAUGAUCAAGGAGGCAAGAUACGUGGACGACGCCUUGAAUGGACCGAUCAAUGAGCCUCAACCAAUUGCUCUCAAGGCAACAAGGAGCAAGGAGGCGCUACCAAGCAAGGUGGCGCAAGUUGAGGCGGCCGGGCUAAAUAAUGAGGAGAUGGCCCUCAUCAUUAAGCGCUUCAAGACGGCGCUUAAAGGUCGCAAGGGACAGCCAAACAAGACCAAGACAAAGGAGAAGCGCUCAUGCUUCAAAUGUGGUAAGAUUGGUCAUUUCAUUGCUAACUGUCCCGAUAAUGAAAGUGACCAGGAAAAGGAGGACAAGAGGGAAAAGAAGAAGCAUUACAAGAAGGCCAAGGGCGAGGCACAUAUCGGAAAGGAGUGGGAUUCGGAUUGCUCCUCUUCCGACUCCGACAAUGAGGGACUCGCCGCCACCGCCUUCAACAAAUCGACCCUCUUCCCCAACAAGCGUCACACAUGCCUUAUGGCAAGGGAGAAGAAGGUAUGUACUCAAAACCCUACCUAUGCUUCUUCUAGUAAGGAUGAGUCUAGUGAUGAUGAUGAGAUAGAUUACUCAUGCUUAUUCAAGGGAUUAGAUAGAUCUAAAAUUGAUAAGAUUAAUGAGUUGAUUGAUGCCUUGAAUGACAAGAAUAGAUUACUAGAAAAACAAGAGGACCUUUUAUAUGAAGAGCAUGACAAAUUUGUAGAAGCACAAAAAUCCCAUGCUUUAGAAGUUAAGAGAAAUGAAAUGCUUUCUUGUGAAUUAUCUUCUUGCCAUGAGACAAUUUCUAGCUUAAAGAGCAUAAAUGAUGAUUUAAAUGCUAAGCUAGAAAAAUCUAGUAAAUUAACAUCUUGUGUAGAACAUGUUGUGAUUUGCACUAGGUGUAAAUACUUUAAUGUUGAUGCUUGUAGUGAACACCUAGAGUGCAUUUCUAAAUUAAAUGAUGAAGUAGCUAGUCUUAAUGCCCAACUUAAGACUAGCAAGAGUGAUUUGGAUAAACUAAAAUUUGCAAGGGAUGCCUACACAAUUGGUAGACACCCCUCAAUUAAGGAUGGGCUUGGCUUCAAGAGGGAAGUCAAGAACUUGACAAGCCAUAAGGCUCCCAUCUCCGCCAAGGAGAAAGGGAAGGCCCCUAUGGCUAGUAGUGUGCAAAAGAACCAUGCUUUUAUGUACCAUGAUAGGAGACAAACUAGAAAUGCUUAUAGGAGUUUUAAUGCUUAUGAUGAUUUUGAUUCUCAUGUCAUGUUUGCUUCUAGUUCUUCCUAUGUGCAUGAUAGAAAUGUUGAUAGGAGAAAUGUUGUUCAUAAUAUGCCUAGGAGAAAUGUUGUUAAUAUUCCUAGAAAAGUUAUGAAUGGACCUUCUACAAUUUAUCAUGCACUAAAUGCUUCCUUUGCUAUUUGUAGAAAGGAUAGGAAAAUAGUUGCUAGGAAGUUAGGGGCAAAAUGCAAGGGAGACAAAACUUGCAUUUGGGUCCCUAAGGAAAUUUGCACUAACCUUGUAGGACCCAACAAGAGUUGGGUACCUAAGUCCCAAGCCUAAAUUUGCCUUGCAGGUUUAUGCAUCCGGGGGUUCAAGCUGGAUUAUCGACAGCGGAUGCACAAACCAUAUGACGGGGGAGAAGAAGAUGUUCACCUCCUACGUCAAGAAUAAGGAUUCCCAAGAUUCAAUUAUAUUCGGUGAUGGGAAUCAAGGCAAGGAUAAGUCUGAAACCCAAGGGACCCUCAAGCGCUUCCUCAGGAGAGCUCAAAAUGAGUUUGAGCUCAAGGUGAAGAAGAUAAGGAGCGACAACGGGUCCGAGUUCAAGAACCUUCAAGUGGAGGAGUUCCUUGAGGAGGAAGGGAUCAAGCAUGAGUUCUCUGCUCCCUACACACCACAGCAAAAUGGUGUGGUAGAGAGGAAGAACAGGACGCUAAUCGACAUGGCGAGGACUAUGCUUGGAGAGUUCAAGACCCUCGAGCGUUUUUGGUCGGAAGCCGUGAACACGGCUUGCCACGCCAUCAACAGGGUCUACCUUCACCGCCUCCUCAAGAAGACGUCGUAUGAGCUUCUAACCGGUAACAAACCCAAUGUAUCUUACUUUCGUGUAUUUGGGAGCAAGUGCUACAUUCUAGUGAAGAAGGGUAGAAAUUCUAAGUUUGCUCCCAAAGCUGUAGAAGGGUUUUUAUUAGGUUAUGACUCAAAUACAAAGGCGUAUAGAGUCUUCAACAAAUCAUCGGGUUUGGUUGAAGUCUCUAGCGACGUUGUAUUUGAUGAGACUAAUGGCUCUCCAAGAGAGCAAGUUGUUGAUUGUGAUGAUGUAGAUGAAGAAGAUGUUCCAACGGCCGCUAUACGAACCAUGGCAAUUGGAGAAGUGCGGCCACAGGAACACGAUGAACGAGAUCAAACAUCUUCCUCAACUAUGGUGCUACCCCCAACUCAAGACGAUGAACAGGUUCAUCAACAGGAGGCGUGUGAUCAAGGGGGAGCACAAGAUGAUCGUGUGAUGGAGGAAGAUGCGCAACCAGCACCUCCAACCCAAGUUCGAGCGAUGAUUCAAAGGGAUCAUCCCGUUGACCAAAUUCUGGGUGACAUUAGCAAGGGAGUAACUACUCGAUCUCGAUUAGUUAAUUUUUGUGAGCAUUACUCCUUUGUCUCUUCUAUUGAGCCUUUCAGGGUAGAGGAGGCCUUGCUAGAUCCGGACUGGGUGUUGGCCAUGCAGGAGGAGCUCAACAACUUCAAGAGAAAUGAAGUUUGGACGCUGGUGCCUCGUCCGAAGCAAAAUGUUGUGGGAACCAAGUGGGUGUUCCGCAACAAACAGGACGAACACGGGGUGGUGACGAGAAACAAGGCUCGACUUGUGGCAAAAGGUUAUGCCCAAGUCGCAGGUUUGGAUUUCGAGGAGACUUUUGCUCCUGUGGCUAGGCUAGAGUCUAUUCGUAUCCUGCUAGCAUAUGCCGCUCACCAUUCUUUCAGGCUGUUCCAAAUGGAUGUGAAGAGCGCUUUCCUCAACGGGCCGAUCAAGGAGGAGGUGUACGUGGAGCAACCCCCUGGCUUCGAGGAUGAACGGUACCCCAACCACGUGUGUAAGCUCUCUAAGGCGCUCUAUGGACUUAAGCAAGCCCCAAGAGCAUGGUAUGAAUGCCUUAGAGACUUUCUAAUUGCCAAUGCUUUCAAGGUUGGGAAAGCCGAUCCAACUCUUUUUACUAAGACAUGUGAUGGUGAUUUGUUUGUGUGCCAAAUUUAUGUCGAUGACAUAAUAUUUGGUUCUACUAACCAAAAGUCUUGUGAAGAGUUUAGCAGGGUGAUGACGCAGAAAUUCGAGAUGUCGAUGAUGGGCGAGUUGAACUACUUCCUUGGGUUCCAAGUGAAGCAACUCAAGGACGGCAACUUCAUCUCCCAAACGAAGUACACGCAAGAUCUGCUAAAGCGGUUUGGGAUGAAGGACGCCAAGCCCGCAAAGACUCCGAUGGGGACCGACGGACACACCGACCUCAACAAAGGAGGUAAGUCCGUUGAUCAAAAAGCAUACCGGUCAAUGAUAGGUUCUUUGCUUUACUUAUGUGCUAGUAGACCGGAUAUUAUGCUUAGCGUAUGCAUGUGUGCUAGAUUUCAAUCCGAUCCUAAGGAGUGUCACUUAGUGGCGGUAAAGCGAAUUCUUAGAUAUUUGGUUGCUACGCCUUGCUUCGGGCUCUGGUAUCCAAAGGGGUCUACCUUUGACUUAGUUGGAUACUCAGACUCCGACUAUGCUGGAUGUAAGGUCGAUAGGAAGAGUACAUCAGGGACGUGCCAAUUCUUAGGAAGGUCCCUGGUGUCAUGGAACUCUAAGAAACAAACCUCCGUUGCCCUAUCCACCGCUGAGGCCGAGUACGUUGCCGCAGGUCAGUGUUGCGCGCAACUACUUUGGAUGAGGCAAACCCUCCGGGACUUUGGCUACAAUCUGAGCAAAGUCCCACUCCUAUGUGACAAUGAGAGUGCUAUCCGCAUGGCGGAGAAUCCUGUUGAGCACAGCCGCACAAAGCACAUAGACAUCCGGCAUCACUUUUUGAGAGACCACCAGCAAAAGGGAGAUAUCGAAGUGUUUCAUGUUAGCACCGAGAACCAGCUAGCCGAUAUCUUCACUAAGCCUCUAGAUGAGAAGACCUUUUGCAGGUUGCGUAGUGAGCUAAAUGUCUUAGAUUCGCGGAACUUGGAUUGAAUUAUAGCAUACAUGUGUUUAUGCCCUUGAUCAGGUUCAUUCUGCAUUUUGUUGCUAAUUAUGGUGCUCAAGUUGUACAAACAAUCCCUGGACCUCACAAGUCCGUUGCAAAGUGAUGCACAUGUUUAGGGGGAGAUGUGUUACAACUUGACCCUUUGAGACUAACCAUGUGCUUGAGUUGAUGAUUUAGUCUCGGAGGAGGAUUGAAAGGGAAAAGGUGGACUUGGACCAUGAAAGACUUCCACUGCACUCCGAUGAGAGGGUAACUUAUUCCAAGUACAUCUCAUGAAAUCUUAUUGCCAUUUGCUCUUAAUUGAAGACUUUGGUGAGGCAAUGGGGUUAAAGGGCCAAGAUUGAUCCCGUUUUGGUGCUUGAUGCCAAAGGGGGAGAAAAUAAAGGCCAAAGCGAUAAAUGGAUCAGCUACCACUUGAGAGAUUUUGAAAAUAGUAGAAUAGAGUUUUUGUUUUGUCAAACUCUUUUAUUGUCUCUUAUUGUCUCUCCUGUCAAAAGUUGGCUUCUUGUGGGGAGAAGUGUUGAUUAUGGGAAAUAGGGGAAGUUUUUUUUUGAAAUCUUUGAUCAAUCUCUUUUGGAAUGACUCUCUUUAUGCUUCAACAUGUGUGUUUGACUUAGAGAUAGAGAUCUAAGUUUGAUUUGCAAAAACAAACCAAGUGGUGGCAAAGGAUGAUCCAUAUAUGCCAAAAUUGAGUCAAAAUCAAUUUGAAUUUUAUUUGAAGUGAUUUCGCACUUGUUCUAGUUGCUUUAUGUUGUGUUGGCAUAAAUCACCAAAAAGGGGGAGAUUGAAAGGGAAAUGUGCCCUUGGGCCAUUUCUAAGUAUUUUGGUGAUUGAGUGCCAACUCAAGUUCUUAAAAUGUGAAUUUAUGCAAUGGAUGAACAAAGUGCAAAUCAAGAGCAAAGGUAUGUUUCUAAGUCUUAGUACAUUGGUUUUGUGUACUAAUAUACGUGUCUAAGUAUUGGAAACAGGAAGAAAAAGAAAAGGAAAAAGGUGGCUGUGUACAGCCAAGGGGCUGUUUCGGUCUGGGGCACCGGACUGUCCGGUGGUGCACCGGACAGUGUCCGGUGCGCCAGGCUGCCUCGGCCGAACAGGCCGCUCUCGGGAAUUCGCCGACGGCGUACGGCUAAAAUUCACCGGACUGUCCGGUGAGCCAACGGUCGGCCGGGCCAACGGUCGGCCGCGCGAUCUGCGCGGGACACGUGGCCGAGCCAACGGUCGGGAAGGGGCACCGGACUGUCCGGUGUGCACCGGACAUGUCCGGUGCGCCAACGGCUCCCGCAUCUGCAACGGUCGACUGUGCUGUUUAAGGAAGGAAAUCGGGCACCGGACAGUGUCCGGUGUGCACCGGACUGUCCGGUGCACCCGACGACAGAAGGCAAGUUUGGCCUUCUGGAAUUGCUCUCAACGGCUCCUAGCUGCCUUGGGGCUAUAAAAGGGACCCCUAGGCGCAUGGAGGAGAACACCAAGCAACCUUAGAGCAUUCUUGAUCAUCCACACUCAGUCUUUGCGCAUUCGUUUGUCAUUCUAAGUGAUUCGAGCUCCGUUCUAGUGAGAACUUUGGGAUAGUCUUUUGAGCUCGAUUCUUGGCCGUGUGUGUGCGCAUUUUGCUGUGGAUUUGUGUGUGUUGCUUCCCUCCCUUACUCCGUAUUUCUUUGUGAAUCUCAAGUGUAAGGGCGAGAGACUCCAAGUUGUGGAGAUUCCUCGCAAACGGGAAAUUGAAAGGAAAAGCAUAACACUGUGGUAUUCAAGUUGAUCAUUGGAUCACUUGAGAGGAGUUGAGUGCAACUCUCGUCCGUUGGGACGCCACAACGUGGAGUAGGCAAGUUUUGUACUUGGCCGAACCACGGGAUAAAUCAUUGUGUCUUCUCUGUGUUGAACUCCGUGUGAUUAUCCUAUUGUGCAAGAUCUUCUCUCUAGCCACUUGGCAUUAACUGUGCUAACACUUAAUCAAAGUUUUGUGGCUUAAGUUUUGAAGUUUACAGGAUCACUAUUCACCCCCCCCCCUCUAGGUGCUCUCAACGACAGCAAGUGUUGAAAGGGCAUUUUCUGCAAUGAGUUUGGUGAAGACUAAAUUGAGAAACAAGAUGUGUGAUAGUCUUUUGGAUGAUUGUCUUGUUACAUACAUCAAGAGAGAUAUUUUCUUCGAAAUAAAAUGAAGAAGAUAUAAUUGAAACUUUUAUGGUGUUGAGGAAGCACAGACCAGAUAAGUAGUAUUAUUGCAAUCUUUAUGUUUAAUGUAUGCAAUUUUCAUGCUUAUUUGUUGAGUGUCAAACUUUAUAUCUAUAUAUAUCAAAUUGUUUACCAAAUUUAUAUGUACAUGAGAUAGAAUUCUACAUAAAAAUUUUGUUACGACACACUCUAUAUAAAAAUUCUAGAUUCGCCACUGCAAGCACACCAUCCGGGCCUAAGAUGUGCAUGCGUAAAUUUACUCACGGUGUUUUUUCACUACAUUUAAAACAUUGGUUUUCUGCCACAUUCGAGAGAGGACACAUGUCUAGCGGCAAUACAAUGUAUAUCUCCAAUCAAUCUUACAUCCAUGGUGGGCAUGCUAGAGAUUGUUAUAGAACAUCAGAUUGAGUUAUUGCACUUAAUUGGAGUAAGAGCAUCUCCAACAAUGCCUCAAAUCGAAAUAUAGGGCUCUACACAGGAAAAACCACUCCAACAGUGCCUCAAUUCAACAAAUUUUGUCAAAAAACUAUAGGGCACCCUCUCAAGUGCCUCAAAUAUACUACACCGUAGUGGGCUGCCCUAUAAACUAGAUUUGGGGCUUUACUAUUGGAGCGGGAUGUUUUGUUGGUGCCCUAAAUUUUAUAAAAUUUACUUAUUUUUAAAUUAUAAGGCAUUUUUAUAGGUCACGUUGUUGGAGAUGCUCUAAGGCUGACCAUAAAUUAAAUUUGAGCUAAAAUGAUCUUCAAAAAAAUGGAGAAAAAAAAUACUCCCUCUCUAAGAGCAUCUCCAACAAUGCCUCAAACUAGUGCCUCAAAUUGAAAUAUAGGGUUCUAUAUAGGAAACACUACUCCAACAGUGCCUUAUUUUUUAAAAUUUUGUCAAAAACAUAUAGGGCACUCUCUCAAGUGCCUCAAAUAUACUACACCAUAGUGGGCUGCUCUAUAAUCUAGAAUUAAGGCUUUACUAUUGGAACAUAAUAUUUUGUUGGUGCCAUAAAUCAUAUAAAAUAUACCUAUUUUUAAAUUAUAGGGCAUUUUUAUAGGACACUUUGUUGGAGAUGCUCUAAGUGAAAAGCACCAAUCAAGACAUAAUUAAGAAGCAAACUCAAAGACAAAAGACACAUAAGGAUGGCACAAUUUUACCUUCAGAUAUCCCAAAGCAAUCUAAAAAAAUGCUUUAGCAUGCAAAUUUGCGAUGCACGCGUUUCCAUAUAUAUAGUUGGCGCUUGCAAUCAGCAAACCAUCCGGUGGAGACACAGCAGACCUCGUACGUCGAUCUAUGGCGGCCAGCCAGAGCUAGAAUCCACGUACACGUACGCGGCUGGCGGUCUAGGUGGUUUCGCCAUGAAGCCGACGCAUAUCGACCAGCAGUCUCCGGUCCCCGGCAAAAGCGCCGGCGCGAGAUGGACCAGUGAUCCGGAUGCCCCCCCGCGCGCGCAUCGAUCUGCUGGACUGGACGCAACUUUUGAUGGAGAAGGGACGACCAUGCGUCGUCCAUCCGUCUCUCCUCG